CUAGGAAUUUAGCUUGGAGGAAUCGUGCAGAUUCCUCUGUUCCGAGGCAACUAGGGUGAAAUUAUUGGAUCCAUUUUGCUUCUGUGUCACUGCUCUGGACACUGGGAUUCCAGGUCAAGACUAUCUGACAGGUCAAGCUUCAGCCAGCAGCUUCAUUAGCAGGAAGAGAUUCGGUGCUGUACUGGGGAGCUAGCUACACAGAAGUAGUCCUAAGCGUGGUCAACUCAACAUCUCCAGCUCAGCCUCUUCCAGUUCGCUAUCUUCCAAAUUCUGAAUCCGCUUGCUGGACAUCUCCUCACCAGGCUAGUAUAUGCGCUCGCGCUCUCUCUUUCUCCUCAGAAGCAAGCAGGGAUGUGUGUGUGUGUGUGUGUACAGCUUAAAAUGUUGGAGAAGGGAAGACAAGUAAAGGGGGUGACGUUGGCUACAAGCAUGGUGGAUACCAUGGGUCCCUGAGGAAAUAAACUGUUUGCGGUUUUCCCCCAGAGUUGAAGUUUUGACUUAAUUUGAGCGAACCUGACAUCGGUUUCUACAGCAGUACAUUGGAUUUGGCUUGUGCUGUUGUGACACAAAGGGAAAGGCACACACACAAUGUCAGCAAUGUUCUCUCUCCUUC
rnacentral:lncRNA from 1 species